rnacentral:rRNA from 1 species
AGAGUUUGAUCAUGGCUCAGGAUGAACGCUAGCCACAGGCUUAACACAUGCAAGUCGAGGGGAAACGACAUCGAAAGCUUGCUUUUGAUGGGCGUCGACCGGCGCACGGGUGAGUAACGCGUAUCCAACCUGCCCACCACUUGGGGAUAACCUUGCGAAAGUAAGACUAAUACCCAAUGACGUCUCUAGAAGACAUCUGAAGGAGAUUAAAGAUUUAUCGGUGAUGGAUGGGGAUGCGUCUGAUUAGCUUGUUGGCGGGGUAACGGCCACCAAGGCGACGAUCAGUAGGGGUUCUGAGAGGAAGGUCCCCCANAUUGGAACUGAGACACGGUCCAAACUCCUACGGGAGGCCA